CAUCUGCUAGAUUUUUAUUAAAGUAACAAAAAAAGGUGUACAUUUGUCCAUAAACCUGUACAUUCUUCCAUAUAAAACACUAUUAUACAAUUAGUAACCUUUGUCUUUUCUAUCAGAAUAGCUUACAAACUACUAUUAUUUAUUUUUACUUAAUAGGAGAGACAGGCCUGCUCAACAGUCCAGCUCUGGGUGUUUUGUUGAUUUUAAAGUGAACAUCAAAAAGAAGAGAGAAAAGAUUAAGCAUGAGACUAUGAGGCUGCUUAUAAUCUGCAGUGAUUCACAGCUUUGUUUCAACCCACAGGCCAGAAAAUUAGCUCUUGGGUCUGUGGGCCCAAAGUUACCUUUAAAGCAAUAAAGACUGGAAACAGGGGCUGGGAUGGUAGCUGGGGAUCUGGAACGUUGAAGAGGCAGAACUGGCAGGAAUGGGUAGGGAAAGUGUUUGGUAAAUAGCACCUUUGAAUCAGAACUGAGUAGUUAAGAAAUCCAGGAAAGGGGACUGGCAGUGGGGAGGAAGUUUUCUCCACAAGGGGCAAUGGCAGGAGGGUAGCCAGGUUGACCAGAUGUUCUAGCUCCAUCCUUCUUGAGAUGGUCUUGGGUUUGCGAUACUCAAGGCCUUCUGAGGACCCCUCACUAAUACCACUGAAAACCUGAAGGAAGAGGAUUUCUUCCCAGUGUAGUUUUGCAUUUUUCUGCAACCCAAAACAGUAAAUAUUGCACAAGUCUACAGACAAAUUUGGAUUGUACUGAGAGAUGGCAACAUCUCCCACAGGUGCUCUGAGCACGGGGAAGAAAAAAACAAUGCCCAAGGUUUGGCUUUUAGUGUCAGCCCUACAAAAAUACCAAGUAGUCCUGCAGAACUUGGGGCAUUCUCCCAUUCGGCCAAGGAAUACUGCAAGGCUGAGGAUCCAGCCAUAGUCCCAAGGACAGAGGGAGAGAUGGUUCCCUAAGCCUGCCAAGGCACCAGAAGGUUGUAAGAGCCAGUUCUCCUCCAGACCCUCCUGGGACCCAAGAGGCCAUAUUGCACAGUGACUGAGAACUUUUGUCCUAGAAAACAGGGUAACUGCAUGACCCAACCAGGAGGGGAGAGGAGCAGGGAGAGUUAGAGAGGAGUGUUGUGCUUUUAAAAAGAAGGCAGUAAUCAAGGAUGUGGAGUUCCCUGUAACUUUUGAGCCACCUCUCCAAGGGAUAAUGGUAGCAUCGCCAGGACUUUCACGUAGUUCCAAAAAAAAAAAAAAAAAAAAAUUACCACAUGUACACAUAGAGCAGCACAUAGCAAGGCAAAGAUUUCGUGCAGAGUACCCUUCUGUCCCAACUCCAAUAACCUGCAACCCCUGCCUCACUCCCCUGAACCCCCAAACAAAAAGCUUUAUAUUCUUGGUGGGUAGCAACAUCCAUAGGCCCCUGAGAAUAGAAUUAGAAAUAAGUCAUGAUUUUAAGAAAAACUGUUCAGGACAGAAGGAAUCAAGAGAGGCUUUUUCACUCUCUGCCUAGGAUCUCAUUAGAAAAAUAAAAGAGAAAGAUUAGGCAAUAUAGCAUAAUUUAAGUCCAGGUUUGAAUGCCCCUGAGUAAGAGAGGGGCUGGGGAUGCAGGUGUCCUGGUUAGAAGAGGGAGAGGUUAGAACUCAGCCUCUCUUCUCCAUCCAGGACAGAUCCUGACCUCUCUCAUUCACAGUUGCUAACCUUGCUUGCUCCUUCUCACAACUUCCUGGGGUGCUAGCCAAGCCUCUCCCCCAUCACCUUGACCAGACCCGCCCCCUGAACUUUCCCCCCUCCCAUAGGCAGACACUGGCUCCCAGACUCAAGCGCACAACGAUUCUCUCCAAAGGCACCUGGGGAGGCCACUUCCAAGCAGCUCCCUUUAAGGAUUUUUUUCUUAAAAAAAAUCUUUUGGUUUUUUUUUUUCUCCUCUUUUCUUAAAAAAAAAAAUAAUAUAUAUAUAAAUAGCUCUUCAUUUAAAAUACAGUUCCCCAGGUUGAGGUAUGCAAUGGCCUGUUGUCACGGCAGGCAGAAUGAGUACAGUAGAGUGCCAGGUGGGGGCCACAGGGGAUCUAACUGGAGACCGCCAUGACGUAGUUCUUCGAGGGGCUGCUCCUGCCCAGCAUCAUUUGGUUCUUGCAGGUGAGGAGCCCAUAGGAGGUGGCCACCGGGGCCUCCUCGUACAGGAC
rnacentral:lncRNA from 1 species